rnacentral:rRNA from 1 species
AUGCGAGCGUUAUCCGGAUUUAUUGGGCGUAAAGCGAGUGCAGGCGGUUCAAUAAGUCUGAUGUGAAAGCCUUCGGCUCAACCGGAGAAUUGCAUCAGAAACUGUUGAACUUGAGUGCAGAAGAGGAGAGUGGAACUCCAUGUGUAGCGGUGGAAUGCGUAGAUAUAUGGAAGAACACCAGUGGCGAAGGCGGCUCUCUGGUCUGCAACUGACGCUGAGGCUCGAAAGCAUGGGUAGCAAACAG